GGUUGCUAUGCCCCCCUCCAGGAGAUCUUCCUGAUCCAGGGAUCAAACCCACAUCUCUUACAUCUCCUGGAUCGGCAGGAGGGUUCUUUAUCACUAGCACCACUUGGGAAGCCCACCCACUCAUGUACAUAUUGUCUAUAGCUGCUUUCAGGCUAUUGGGUUGGCCAAAAAGUUCUUUUGGGCUUUUCCAGAAGAUGUUACGAAAAAAGUCAAAUGAAUUUUUUGGCCAACCCAAUACAGACUCAUAGUAGUUGUGACAGUGGAUGAACUGAAAGCCUAAGAUAUUUACUAUUUGAUCCAUGUCUUAGGGCACGGGCUUCAGAAUUAGACCACAUUGGUUCAAAUCUAUGCUCAUUUAUUAUCCAAAUGGCCCUGGGCAAGUUGCAUAACUUCUCAAAGCUUUAUCCUUAUGAAUGUAAAAUGCUGAUAGUAUCUAUUUUACAGGGUUUCCUGAGAUUAGAUUAAACCACUAAUAUGAAAUGCACAGAGUUGAUAAAUCCAAAUACUUUAUAAGGAGUCCGCAGUGGGUGCCUCAUCCCUGACUCAUAGGUUCAAGAUCUUAGCAAAAGGCUUCCUUGGUCUAAGUCUCAGUUUCCCUAUAUGUUAAAUGGGGAUAAUUAUUUAUGAAACUAAAAUGAGAUAUGCUGUGUGGCUUCUAGGAAGCACAUUAAAUGGAAGUUGCUGCUUUUAAUUUCAUCAAGUUACCCUCCAUCAUCUCCUUUGUAGGGGCCAUCUGCAAGUCCUUCAGGAUCUAGGAGAAAAAAUCCAACAUCUGUCUGUAUAUCCAUGUGCCACUGUCCUGCUGCUGGCUCCCGGAGCAUACUCCAGCUGACGGUGCCUGGAAGGGAGUGCGUAUUAAAAAACCUCCCUUCCCCACAGCUUGGCAUCUGGCCUAAACUCACUGCUACCUGAAAGAGUGCCAACCUGUUCAGCACAUUUGAAUUUGCAAAUAAUCUCUUAUUUACUCUCAGAGUAUCCACAAAGCUGAAGCUUGUCAUGGGUUUUUAUUAUGUGGUAAUAAGUACUGUUGGGGAAGAUCUAUCUUUGCAAAGCCCAAUUAGUGUAUUUAUUUAUUAGGCUCUUGUAUCAUCAGGUAAGAGUAAUAAAUAAGAGGGUCAUUAUAGGAUUCUGCCCACUGAACCCAGUUUGUGCAUUUGCUGAUGGGCAGAGGUGGAUGGCAAAUGGCAAGAAUUUGGGGUGGGACGGUGGUGGUCCGGGCUUGGGAAACGUUGAUUUUGUUGGACUUUGUCAUGCCUCUUGGCUGUGAUGACAAUUCACUUGAGUUACAUUGCAUUAAAAAAAAAAAAGUGGCGAGAGUCCAGUGGUUGAAAUGCAGACGCCCACAUGUAUUUAUAUUUGCAGUGCCUGGGCCAUGUGUGCGCUGAUACAGCGAACGAGAAAGUUGUGGAACUGAAAAUAACAUAUGUCUGUCUGAAGUGCCAGAGGAAAUUGUAGCAUGGGCGAGAAGGGGAAGGGUCCAGAUUUAGAGAUGGGGGAAGAAAUAUGCUCCUUGUUCAGCCGUGGUGUUUAUACACAAGCCCUCAUUUCUGCUCACACAUAAUGAACAGCCACAGAACUGACGGGAAAACAAAUGCAAAACUGGGCAAGUUGAUUGUUUCUUCUAGAGCUGGUUGGAGGAAUGGAGUUCUGGAUUGGAAAUAAAGUUCUGGCAGAUUGAACUUUGACCCCCACCCCCAUCCCCUUUUUGCGGUUUUCUGAGUUCCUAGGAUCUGGUUCGUGAGAUCGAUGCUGUGAUUGUGGUUGAAACAGGUCAAGGUGGACAUGGUUAGAAAGGAACCCAUCCUUCACCACAAACCUCCUUGACUUAAAAAUGAUUAAAAUAAAAAUUUCCAAGUCAAUUACUUUCAGUCCCCUGAGAGCCAGAGGAUCAUUUAGGGUUUUUCUGGAGUCAGGGACCCCUAAGAUCACAUUUCUCUUCUGGCUGGGGUGUUAUUUUUAAGCCUUGGUUACCAGCCUCCGACUCUUAGUUCCAUGUGUCAAUAUGUAUAAAUAGAUGUGACUAAAUUAAAAAAGAAAUAAUAGGUUGAAUUCACAUCUUUGUUUUUUUUCCAUCUUCAUGAAAACAAGUAACAGGUUUGACUUCAUUUUCCACAUUUCUCUUUGCCGUUUUGACAUUAUCAGAUGCAGCCCAGUUCACAUCUGAGUCUGACGUUAUCAGACUCAGAGUACAUUUGAUCUUUGCAAACAAAACUCCAUAGAAAGACUCAGUCUCUGACACCUCUCAAUGGUUCUGUGACUCAUUGCCUUCAGAGCACCCCUGAACCCCAACCUCAGAUCCAGCUGGAAACCUCCCACCAUGGCCCUUGGCUUGAAACUAGACCCUCAAGAUUUUAACAUACAUGAUGGCCAAGCCACUUACAUCUGACUUCCUCACCUCAGUGUUUUCAUCUGCAGAAUGGAUGUAAUACUCUCGCCACCUGCCAAGAUCCAGGAGAGGAUGGGAGGAGUUGGAGAAACACUCUUGGUGGGACUCAGAGUAGCUGCUGAAGUGAAAUAGAGCCCGAUGGCCACUCAGCAAUUGUUUUCUGUUUCUUUCUCAUCUUCCUGGUUUAAUGUGACCAGCACCUGGUUUUCAUGCCUUUAUCUCCCUUCUGUUCAGAAGUGAGUUCAGUUUGUCAGGCAUGCUGGUCCCAGAGACCUGAGCCUGGGGGCUGAGCUAUCACAGCUUGAACCAGAUGCCUCCCCUUGGUUUGGUAUGUUACACCUCAUGACAACUGCCAGAAAGACACUGCUGGUCCCAUUUCACAGAUUGGGAGACUGAUGUGCAGCUGCUCCUUUCACACCAGUUGAAACUUAACUAUAACACUUGCGGCAGUUUAAAAAAAUACGGUUGUUACAACCAAAGACAUAUGCAGCUGUCUGUCUGUGGAGAAGGAUGAGGCAGGCAGGCAGAAGGCAGGGCGUUCAGAUGAGGGUCUUGCGAAGAAAGCACUGGAUCCUUCCACAUCCUGGGUAGUGGGUCUAAUAGUGUCCCCUUACCUUGAAAAAAAAAAUUGUGUCUGCCUAGAGGUCAGAAUAUGCCGUUGUUUGGAAAUAGAGUAAUGAACAUGUAAUUAGAUAAGGCUCUUGAGAGGAAAUCAUCCUGGAUUUAGAACAAGCCCUAAGUCCAAUGACUGGUGUCCUUACAAGAAGAGGAGAGGGACACAGACACAGAGGGAAGAAGGCCAUAAGACGGGGGCAGAGACUGGAGCCAGAGGAUGCUGGGAGCCACCAGGAGCUGGAAGAGGCAAGGAAGGAUGCUCCCCUGGGGCCUCUGGAGGGAGCAUGACCCUGCUGACACCUCGAUUUUGUACUUCUGGCUUCCAGAAUGGUCAUUUACGUGAAAAUUGUGAGGAACUUCCUGCUGGAUAUUCCAGGCUUCUUCUAGGAACAAAGAGGAGCCAGGUGAAAAUGCAAAAGUCAGACUGUCCCUUCUCAGACCCUAAUGUCCCUCUCUUUACUGUGAACAUGAGCUGGUCGCUAUCCCACCGGAACUCAGAGGGCUUAAGUCUCUGGUCAAGGUCAUGGAGCUUACUCUGAGGUCAGAAUCAAGACCCAAAUUCAGCCAGCUUGGCUCCAAAGCUGAUAUACUUUUGUUGAGCUCUUGCCCUGUUCUGCAACUCUCCCAGGAGAUGACAAAAUUUUGUAGAGUCCUUUGGUGGAAGGUGUCCAUCAGGUUUCCAUGAAAUAUCAAUUAUCAGACCAGACCAACCCUGAGUUGAGAGGCUGGGGAGGGUAGCAAAAUCCUCUUAGAAGCAGGAGACUGCCUUCUAGAACCAGUACUCCAGUUGACCUUGGGUGUGACCUUAUAUAAACCAUUUACCUUCUCUGACUCCUGGUUUCCUUAUUUGUAGGAUUCAUUUAUCCAGUAAAUAUUUGUUGGACACUGCAUGCUGAAUGCCAGACAGUGCUAUAGGUACCAAGGUUACAGCUGUGAACAAACCAAAGUUCCUGACCCUAUGGAGUUGACUCUGAACUAGAUGGUCCACGAUGCUAGGGAGGAGUAGGGCCAAGGGGAGGGAGAGGGGCAUGUUGUUGGGAUAUAGAAUAAGUUCAAGGCCAGUCUUUGGCUAAGAGCAGUUGAUCAUUGGGCAGGGGAAAACAGACUCCCACUGUGAAACCAUUGGAGACACAAAUUGCCUCUAAAGAUGUCAAGGACCUGCAUCAUUUGGACCCCUUUAUCCUCUCUGGCCUCCUCGAGGGCCAAUCAUCUUUCUACUCACCAGCCAAGUCCUUUCCAGCCUCUCAGUUUGUAUGCCCCAGAAGCAGGCUCUGAGGUUAGCAGUUUGAGUCCGAGCAGUUGAUGUGGGAGGUGAUCUUAGAAAGCAACAGAGGCAGAGCAGAGCGGUAAGGCUGAGAAAGAAAGGAAAGGAAGCCAAGGGUGUCUCAUUACAGCAGCUCAUUGCUGAGAGCAGUUGGAGCUCAGUCCUGAUGGGGAAUUAUAAGGAUGAGGAAGCUGGAGUAUUUACCCAUCAAUUCCUAUAGGGCGUUGGCUGAAGGCUACUCCUAGGGACAUUCAUUUCCUGGCAUUUCUGAUCUGUUCAAGGCACCAUCCAACAGAGAGCCCUCAGGCAGAGACUUUUGGGGGUUUUCAGUAGAGCACUGUAGAUGUGUGCUGGAAAGGUAAGUGCUGAUGUGGAAUAUGGGAGGGCACUGUAAGACCUCAGGACCUUUGCACUUACUGCUCCUUCGAUUGGAGCAGCCUUCUCCCCAGGUCUUUGCAAGGCUGGCAUCUUAGCCUUCUGCUCUUAGCUCAGAGUCUCCUCCUCUGUAAAUUAGCAUCCUAUGGCACUAGGACUCUCCAUCAUGUAUUCUGAUUUCUUUCUUUUGCAGUGCAUGUCACAAUCAGAAAUCAGCUUCUGUGCUUGUUUACAAGCAUUUCUGUGAUCUCCAGUGCCUAGAGAAGCAUGUCCCAUGGUUGCACUUCCAGAACUAUUUUCUGCACACACAUGUGCCUUGCCAUCCACAGCCAGCUAAAUACAAACAUAACUUUGACUCCCACUUCCGGACUUGUGACCAGAUGAGGGAGUAAAGAUUGAAUUUGGAUUAUGGGAGACAUGAAGAUGCUGCUCAGGUUUUCAGUUUAGAAGAUCAAAAGCUGCCAGAAAUUGUUUCAGGAGAAAAAUAAAUCUCUGAGAAGUUGGAUUUGAAAUUCCGAGGGGCCGGCGCUUGUGUCCGCUGUGUCAGGAGUCAUGUAAUGAGAAGGGCUCUAACUGUGGCGUCUGCCCUCUUUGUGUCUCUCCUCCUCUCCUAGGGAAGCCCUGCCUCAGCCUCUACUAUCUGCUUUCUCUUAUGAAAUCAUAGAAUAUUGGGCCUAAAUUAAAUUUAUGGUAAAUCUGAGCAGGCAGAAUCAUUUCCCAAAGAGAAUGAGUAAAACAAAUGACUGCCAAUCUUUGGAAAAACCCUCUGUGUAUUGGAGCUGAGGACUCAGAUUAUGGAAAAUUUUGAAUGAAGGAUUCAAUUUUCUUUUGACGUCUGAAAUGUACGUCACAUCUGUUUCAUCACCCCUUUUCUAUCAUAAAGGAAGUGCCUGAACCAAUUCCUUAUGCUGUUUCUCCUCUCUGCCAAGAGGUCAAGAGUUCAACAACCAUCUCUUUAUACUUUCCUAUGUGCCUAAGGAUGUUUGUGCUUUGGGCUCCAAGAGGACUUGGGGACCUUAGAAUGCUAAUAGAUGGCAUUUGGGGAGAACAGAAGAUCUCAGAAACCCCAUCCGUAGAGGUCGGAUACCUGGUAGGAGAUAGAAAUCAAAGAAGGGGAGAAAGGUCCAAUAUUGCCUGUGUUGAUGCUCUGCAGUAAAACAAUAGGGACUGGAUUCAAAGAAGACGAUGACCACAGCAUCUUCACGACACACCCAUUGGAGCUGAAUCCUGCAGCUGGGUCUUUCCCAGAUUUCCCAACUCAGCUUCAUCCUUGGAUUACUCAUAAAUAUUGAAAUGAUAAAAUUUCAAAUAUACACAAAAUUGAUUAAUGGCAUAAGAAAAAAAAAGACAAAAGAAAAAAUUAGUACCAUCCACCAUCCUACUCACUCUGCAAAACAAACAGCAACACUUUGGUAUUAUUUUUUAUUUUGUGUACGAUAUAUUAGUAUGUAUACAUUUAUGCAAUCAUAAAUAAAACAGGUAUGUGAAAGUGAAAGUGUUAGUCACUCAGUCAUGUCAAUUCUCUGUGACUCCAUGACUGUAGCCUGCCUCUGUCCAUGGAAUUCUCUGGGCAAGAAUACUGGAGCAAGUUCCCAUUCCCUUCUCCAGGGGAUCUUCCUGACUCAGGGAUUGAACCUGGAUCUCCUGCCUUGCAGGCAGAUUUUUUAUCAUCUGAGCCACCAGGGAUGCCCAUAAACAGGUAUUUGCACAUGUUUACAGGAUUUCCAGGUGGCGCUAGUGGUAAGGAACCCGACUGCCAGUGCAGGAGAUGCAAGAGACAUGGGUCUGGGCUGAGAAGAUCCCCUGGAAGAAGGCACAGCAACCCACUCCAGUAUUCUUGCCUUGAGAAUCCCAUGGACAGAGGAGCCUGGCAGGCUACUGUCCUUGGGGUUGCAAAGAGUCGGAAAUGACUGAAAUUACAUAGCACACAUGUACUUAUAUACACAUUUGAACAAUAAAUAUGUCAUGUACAUACUUGUCUUGAUAAAUAAGCAAGCAUUUUAUAGAUGUCUAUUUUGUGAUUUGCUUGUUCUCCUGUGAAAAUCUUUUGUGUCCAUAAAUACAUAUUUACAUCUAUAUAAUUAAGUUUUGGGGGAUAUAAUUUUAGACAGUGAAAAUGUUGCAAAAUAGUACAGAGAGCUUCUGUAUGGCCUUUGCCAAGCUUCCCCUGACGUUAAUAUCUUGCACAACCAUGACAUGAUGAUCAAAACUCAGAAAUUAAUAUUACUGAACUACAGACUUUAUUUGGACUUCUCCAGUUUUUUCCCUAUUAUUAUCCCUUUCUGUCCCCAGGGCCAGUUCAGGAUCCUACAUUGCAUUUAAUUUUGUCUUAGUGUCUCAUCUGUGACAGUUCUUCAUCUUCUUAUUUUUUGUGACUUUGACCCUACUGAAGCAUACCGGUCAGUUGUUUUGCAGAUGGCCCCUCAAUUUGGGUUUUUCUGAUGUUUUCUUAUGAUUGGAUUGAAGUUGUAUUUUUUUGGUAAGAACAUCCCAUGUGUUCCUCACCCAUUUAUCUUCAGGGGCUACAUGCUGUUGUUAUGUCCCCUUACUGGUGAUGUUAACCUUGAUUGGUUGGUUAAAGUGAUGUCUGCUGGAUGUCCUUCCAAUGUAAAGUCAUUUUUCCCUUUGCAAUGAAUGAAUCUUGGGGGAGAUACUUUGGGAGUUGGCAAAUAUCCUUUUUUGCUCAAUGUUAGUUUGGUGAUUUCAGCAUCCACCAGUGGAUAUAAACUGCAACAGUUAUUACUGUGAUAUUUUAAUGAUGAUUUUAUAUUUGCUUCAUUCCUUCAUUUAUUAUUCUUCAGUACAGAUGCCAGUCCUUCCUUCUUCCUCCCUCUCUUUCCCCCCACACCAACCCCUGUCCCUCCAUUCCUUCCUUCCUUUUCCCUUCUGUUUCUUCUUUCCUUUCCUGUUGAUUAUUCAUAUUAGUAUGGCCCCAUAGAUAUUUGUUCUAUUUUAUGGUUAUAAUCCAAUGCUACCUUUAUUUUGUUGCUCAAAUUGUUUUGGUUUGAACCUUGGGAGUGCUUUCAGGUUGGUUUCAAUGCCUUUUCAUCAGGUCAGCCUCCCACCUCCCCAAACUUCUUUUGAGCACUUUCUUACUUUCUGGCACCUGGAGGUGUGUAUUUUCUAUGACCAGUCUUAGAAUCAACUGGUUCUCCCAGGAGCUUUAGUUCAUUUUACUGGAGAGUGGUAUUUAGAAAUAAAGAUCUGGCUAGAUGUCCUCACUUGCUUCUAAGCCCAUUCAGCAGACAAAGCUUGGAGAUAUAUAUUUGGUACACAACACACACAUUUAUUUUCAUUUCUUAAAAAUAUCCCUUGAGUUUGUGCUGAUACCUCUUGUUCAAAUCCAACACUGCAGGGCUCAUUCUAGCUUUCUCACUUUCCUUAUUUUUAACUUCCUCAUACAGAAGCCAGGCUCUCGUAAUCUACAAUAUGUUGACUUAACUGUUCAACUAGUCUAUACACAUAAAGCAGUUUCAGAAUAGCUAACUCUUCCUGUAACAAAAAUAUAGUAGUUGCGUACAAUUCUUUUGUCUUUGACCUAAAAAUAUCCAGUCAACAUUUUGUUUCCUGAAGUAGGUUAGUUGUUUUUUUCUCACCCCCUUCAGUUCAUUUGUAAUACAGUCAGCUUGACUUGUUACGCUAGGUCUUCUGGUUGAGGAUACCCUCCACAUGCUGAGUUUUUGAAGUUACAUGCAGUAAAAUUCACUCUUUAUGGAGCAAAGUUCUUUGGUUUUUGAUAAAUUCAUGGAGUUAUAUGUCCAUCAUUCUAAUGUCAUAUACAACAGGUCAUCAUCUCCAGCAAUGUCUUUACACAGUCCCUUUAUGGUGGUCCCACCAAUCUGUUUCCAGCUCUAAAAUUUUACCUUUUUCAUAAUGUCAUAUGAAUGGAAUCAUACAAUAUGUCACUCUUUGGGUCUGACCUCCAUCACUUAACAAGUGCAUUUAAAAUUUGCACGCCUUCUUGUGUGCAUUAAGAGUUAUUUUCUUUACAUUAUUGAAGAGUAUUCCAUAUUAUGGAGAAGGAAAUGGCAACUCACUCCAAUAUUCCUGUGAAGAAUUCCAUGGACAGAGCCUGGUGGGCUACAGUCCAUGGGGUCACAACAAGCUGGACAAGACUGAGCAACUAACAUUUUCACUUUCUUUCAUUCCACAUUAUGGAUGUACCACAGGUUGAUUUUUUUUCUACUUACUAGUUGAAAUAUAUAUGGGUGAUUUCCAGUUUUGGCAAUUACAAAUAAAACUACUCUAAGUAUUUAUGUACAGGUGUUUUGUUUUUUUUUUUUUUGGUGUUUAGAUGUUAAAUUUUAUUUCUCUUGGAUAAAUACCUAGGUAUGGAAAUGCUCAACCAUGUUGUGUGCAUAUUUAACUUUUGUAAGAAACUGUCUGUUUUCCACAGUGGUUGUACCACUUUGAACUCCCACCACUGAUGUAUGGAAGUUCCAAUUCUCUGAAUCCUCACUUAUGCUUGGUAUUUUCAUUUCAAAAUUUUAAAAAUUGUGGCCAUUCUAUUAGACAUAUAAGUGGCAUCUCACUGUGGUUUUAACUUGAAUUUUCAUGGUCCCAUCACUUGAUGGAAAAUAGAAGGGGAAACAGUGGAAACAGUGUCAUACUUUAUUUUUGGGGGCUCCAAAAU